GUUGUAGUGAGCCGAGACCCACGCCACUGCACUCCAGCCUGCGUGAGAGAGUGAGACUCCGUCUCAAAAAAACAAACAAACAAACAAACAAAAAAGAACUUCCCGAGAUGGAGUGACUUAUAAAGGAAAGACAUAUAAUUGACUCACAGUUCAGCAUGGCUGGGGAGGCCUCAGGAAACUUGCAAUCACGGCGGAAGGUGAAGGAGAAGCAAGGCGCCUUCUUCACAAGGUGGCAAGGAGAAGAGUGGCGGAGCGAAGGGGGAAGGGCCCCUUAUAAAACCAUCAGAUCUCGUGAGACUCACUCACUAUCACGAGAACAGCAUGGGGAAAACUGCCCCCAUGAUUCAAUUUCCUCCACUUGGUCUCUCCCUUGAUACGUGGGGAUUAUGGGGAUUACAAUUCAAGAUGAAAUUUUGAAUGGGGACACAGCCAAACCAUAUCAGUCAACAAUAUAGAGGCAGAGAUCUUAAAGACUUAGACUAUUGGACUUUCAACUUUUGGAACCUCCAAAAGCCAGGUGAAAACAGCAACAGGAUCGGAAGCCAAAGUGAAAGCUGAAGACUGUGCAGAUGAACAAGACACCAAAAUCUGGGACAUCUAUCUUCUCCUGCCUUCACACUCAGACUCAGAUUGGAUCUUACACUAUUGGCCUUCCUGGUUCUCAGGUCAAAAUACAACUAUACCAUCAGCAAUCCUGAAUCUCCAGCUUGCUGACUGUAAAUCUUAGGACUUCUCAGCUUUCACAACCAGAACCCAGACUAAUACAAGAACCAAAUCUACGUCCAAGGCAAGGCAACGUAGUAAAGCAAGAAAUCAUCAGAACCUGGCUUGGGACUGAAGUGGAAGAAGAAGGGCUGUUCAUUGGCAAGAAUCAAAUAGUUUUUAAAUCAUAAAACAGACAUAGGCGCCGGGCGCCGUGGCUCACGACUGUAAUCCCAGCACUUUGGGAGGCUGAGAUGGGUGGAUCACCUGAGGUCAGGAGUUUGAGACCAGCGUGGUUAACAUGGCAAAACCCUGUCUCUACUAAAAAUACAAAAAUUAGCCAGGCAUGGUAGUGCGCACCUAUAAUCCCAGCUCCUCAGGAGGCUGAGGCAGGAGAAUUGCUUGAACCCGAGAGGCAGACGUUGUAGUGAGUUGAGAUCAUGCCACUGCACUCCAGCCUGGACGACAGAGCAAGACUCCGUCUCGGAAAAGAAAAAAAAAUAGACAUAUUCAUUUUUUACUUUACAGUCUAAUAGGAAUUUUUUCCUGUUAGAAAAUAUUAUUUGUAAAUGUAAUUUUAAUUGUUGUAUAAUAUUCCAUCAAAUAAAUAUAUCACAAUUUAUUUAGCCAUUCAUAUUUUUAGACCUUGGGGUUGCAUCAUCUUCCUCUUCUUCUUCCUUCUCCUCCUCCUCUUCCUUCUCCCAUUCAUUUUUCUUCUUUGCUGUUUUAAUUAACACUUAAAUAUACAUCCUGGUACCAGAGUAUAGAUGAAUAUAUGAACAAAUGAAAUAAUAGAUCUGUAUUGAACAUCUUUAACGCUAAUAUUCAUUAUCAUCACUAAUUAUUAUAUUACCUUAAGGAGAAUUCCUAGGAGUAAUAGUACUUAAUCAAAAGACUUACUUUUAUACUGCCAUUUCCAUUUCCCGUCAGAUAGGUUGGACCAAUUUAAUAUUCACUAACAGCAUAUAAGGGCUCCCAUUUUCC
rnacentral:lncRNA from 10 species